rnacentral:rRNA from 1 species
AUGCCGGAAGGAGUAAAUUCUACUUCUAUUGUUCUUAUUCCAAAAAUUCCUAACCCUACUAGUUUGUCUCAUUACAGACCUAUCAGCCUAUGUAAUGUUAUAUACAAGGUCAUAUCCAAGUGCUUGGUGAACCGUAUGAGGCCUUUACUUGACGAUAUCAUCUCUCCGGAGCAAAGUGCCUUCAUUCCAGGGCGUAUGAUUACAGACAAUGCUCUUGUGGCCUUCGAGUGUAUUCACCAUAUUAAGCAAGAUAAGGAUCCAACAAAAAGUUUCUGUGCCUACAAGUUGGACCUCUCAAAAGCUUACGAUAGGGUGGAUUGGAAGUUCUUGAAGCAAGUGAUGCAAAAGCUGGGUUUCUCUCAACGAUGGGUGGACUGGAUAAUGUCUUGUGUCACAUCGGUGAAUUAUUCUUUCAAACUUAAUGGGACCCUCUUAGAUUCAUUUGCACUAUCGUGUGGUCUUCGGCAAGGCGAUCCUCUAUCCCCCUUCUUGUUCCUUUUCAUGGCAGAUGGUCUGUCCGCUAUUCUGAAGCAUUAUGUGUCUUCUGGUGAUAUAUCUCCGAUCAAGGUGUGUAGAAGAGCACCGGGUAUCUCACAUCUUUUAUUUGCCGAUGACACCAUGCUUUUCUUUUAG